UAUAGAAAGCUAAUGAACUUUCCAGCGAUGAUAUUUCUUGUAUUGCUUAGCUCUAGAUUGUCUUCUAACAAUCUUGACAAGGUUGUAAACGCACGAUGGAAAUAAUUGUUUAUGUGCCUCCAGUGGAUGCCAUACUUCUGGCUGGUUGCCACUUUGAUUAUCAAUUCUAACUAGCUAUUUCAUCAAAA